rnacentral:rRNA from 1 species
AAGUCGGGAAAGUUUUUUCGCUAAGAGAUCGGUCUAUAUCGCAUCAGUUAGUUGGUGGGGUAACGGCCUACCAAGACAAUGACGCGUAGCGGGUUUGAGAGGAUGAUCCGCCACACUGGUACUGAGACACGGACCAGACUCCUACGGGAGGCAGCAGUGAGGAAUAUUGCACAAUGGGGGAAACCCUGAUGCAGCAACGCCGCGUGGAGGAUGACGCAUUUCGGUGUGUAAACUCCUUUUAUGAGUCAAGAAAAUGACGGUAGCUCAUGAAUAAGCACCGGCUAACUCCGUGCCAGCAGCCGCGGUAAUACGGAGGGUGCAAGCGUUACUCGGAAUCACUGGGCGUAAAGGACGCGUAGGCGGGUUAUCAAGUCAGGUGUGAAAUCCUAUGGCUCAACCAUAGAACUGCACUUGAAACUGGUAACCUAGAGUAUGGGAGGGGCAGAUGGAAUUAGUAGUGUAGGGGUAAAAUCCGUAGAUAUUACUAGGAAUACCGAAAGCGAAGGCGAUCUGCUGGAACAUUACUGACGCUAAGGCGUGAAAGCGUGGGGAGCAAACGGGAUUAGAUACCCCGGUAGUCCACGCCCUAAACGAUGAACACUAGUCGUCGGGGAGCUAGUCUCUUCGGUGAUGCACUUAACAGAUUAAGUGUUCCGCCUGGGGAGUACGGUCGCAAGAUUAAAACUCAAAGGAAUAGACGGGGACCCGCACAAGUGGUGGAGCAUGUGGUUUAAUUCGAAGAUACGCGAAGAACCUUACCUAGCCUUGACAUUGAUUGAAUACCCUAGAGAUAGAGUAGUGCCCUUCGGGGAACAUGAAAACAGGUGCUGCACGGCUGUCGUC